rnacentral:rRNA from 1 species
AAUUAGAUUCUCGGCGUACCGCUCAGUAACACGUGGGUAACCUGCCCUAUGCUGGAUAAUAACCUCGGGAAACUGAGAAUAAUGAUCCAUAGUUCACUACGCCUGGAACGGUGAGUGGAUGAAAGCUCCGGCGGCAUAGGAUGGGCCUGCGGCGUAUCAGGUUGUAGGGGGUGUAACGUACCCUCUAGCCCUCUACGCGUACGGGUGUUGGGAGACAUAGCCCGGAGAUGGAUUCUGAGACACGAAUCCAGACCCUACGGGGUGCAGCAGGCGCGAAAACUUGGCAAUGCGAGAAAUCGUGACCAGGGAACUCCAAGUGCAUCGGGUAAGACCGGUGCUUUUCUUGACUCUAAAUAGGUCUUGGAAUAAGGGGUGGGUAAGGACGGUGCCAGCCGCCGCGGUAAUACCGGCGCCUCAAGUGGUAGUCGCUUUUAUUGGGCCUAAAACGUCCGUAGCCGGUCUGAUACAUUCGUGGGUAAAUCAACCAGCUCAACUGGUUGAAUUCUGCGAGGACGGUCAGACUUGGGACCGGGAGAGGUGUGGGGUACGCUCAGGGUAGGGGUAAAAUCCUGUCAUCCUGAGCGGACCACCUGUUGCGAAGGCGCCACACUAGAACGGAUCCGACGGUCAGGGACGAAGCCUAGGGGCACGAACCGGAUUAGAUACCCGGGUAGUCCUAGGUGUAAACGCUGUGGACUUGAUGUUGGGGGUGCUCCGAGCACUCUCAGUGUCGAAGCGAAGGUGAUAAGUCCACUGCCUGGGAAGUACGGUCGCAAGGCUGAUACUUAAAGGAAUUGGCGGGGGAGCACCGCAACCUGAGGAUUGUGCGGUUUAAUUGGAUUCAACGCCGGG